ensembl:piRNA 21ur-2517 ncRNA
UUCAUACAUUGCAAUUACCAG